GCUUGAGUCACGUAGAGUCUGAACCGUGUUCCUGCACUCAUCCUGAGAACUGGAGAUCAUGUUGUCAGUAACUCUGCUUGUCAUGUUGGGCUUUCUGUGUCAGGAGUCUUCUGCCAACAAGUUCCUGACUCAGACUGACUCAUCCAAGUCUGUUAGUGCUGGAGGGACUGUGACCAUCAGCGCUACAGGGAGCUCUAAUAUUGGUUCCUAUCUCAGUUGGUAUCUUCAGAAACCUGGACAGGCUCCUAAACUUCUUAUAUACUCAUCAUCAUCUCUGUUCUCUGGUACUGAGCCUAGAUUCAGUGGUACUAGAUCUGGUGCUCAGUACACUUUAACCAUCAGUAACGUUAAGGAUGUUGAUGCAGGAGAUUACUAUUGUCUUGGCUACCAUGGUGAUGGCACGUUCACUUUUGGUGGAGGAACCAAACUCAUCGUUGACUUGGGUGUGCAGCAGCCCACCCUGAGCGUCCUCCCCCCCUCCAGAGAGGAGCUGCAGCAGGGCAGUGCCACCGUGGUGUGUCUGGCCAGCGGGGGCUUCCCCUCCGCCUGGAAGCUGGGCUGGAAGCUGGGGGGCAGCAGCAGCUCCUCAGGGGGGUCCCACAGCCCGGAGGUCCUGGGGAGCGACGGCCACUACAGCUGGAGCAGCACCCUGAGCCUCUCUGCAGAGCGCUGGAGGGGGGCGGGCUCAGUGAGCUGUGAGGCCAGUCUGAGUGGACAGAGCCCUGUCACUCAAAGCCUGGACCCUGCCCGCUGCUCGGAGUAGAGCAUCACUUCCUGUCUGGAGAGGAAGCAGCUUCUUUGCUAGAGAUCUUCAUGAAGACACACAUCUCCUCUGCUCACAUGUUGCUGCUGUCUCUGCUCAGUUGUUAGUGUUGCUCUCUAAUCCUCACUUCCUGCAUAUUCUCCUGUUUGUUCAUCAGCUCACAAUUCAACUGGAUUUCAUUUGUUUCACUCCAACAGAAACUCAUCAUUCAUCUCAAAUGUGGCGUGAGCUUUAAACCAUCAUUAAAUAAAAAUGUUGAUUAAAAUGA